rnacentral:rRNA from 1 species
GUGAGGAAUAUUGGUCAAUGGGCGGGAGCCUGAACCAGCCAAGUCGCGUGAGGGAAGACGGUCCUACGGAUUGUAAACCUCUUUUGCCGGGGAGCAACGGGGUCCUUGCGAGGGCCCGAUGAGAGUACCCGGAGAAAAAGCAUCGGCUAACUCCGUGCCAGCAGCCGCGGUAAUACGGAGGAUGCGAGCGUUAUCCGGAUUUAUUGGGUUUAAAGGGUGCGUAGGCGGGCUGUUAAGUCAGCGGUCAAAUGUCGGGGCUCAACCCCGGCCUGCCGUUGAAACUGGCGGCCUCGAGUGGGCGAGAAGUAUGCGGAAUGCGUGGUGUAGCGGUGAAAUGCAUAGAUAUCACGCAGAACUCCGAUUGCGAAGGCAGCAUACCGGCGCCCGACUGACGCUGAGGCACGAAAGCGUGGGUAUCGAACAGG